AUAUACGAUGGGCUUCUUUCAGUUUCUGUCUACGAAAUCCACUCACAAGGCUUUGGUCGGCCCAAGGCUAUAGUAGAAGACACUUGCCCAUGGUGCCACGCAGUAGGACUGAACCCGGAACCAUGUGGUUCGUAAGCAAGCUACUUACCACACAGCUACUCCUACGCCUAUGUGCUAACAAUUCUACCAUCUUGCCACCUCUACUUAAUGGAAUCAGGAAGCAUCUGAGCAAUUGAAAGAAUAGACUUCGUUAUUAUCAAAGCUCUUCUCCAGAACUGGAGCAGUAUUCAGAGGUGCUUUGUAUCUGGAAAGUGGUUUUUAAUUUAAACAAGCUGAACUUUAAAUAUUCAAUAAUAAAAAGAUGUUCAGAAAAUAAAUUUCCUUGAAAACUUCAAUUUAUAAAAAAUCUCACUUGCUUAGUAAAUAUUUCUUUCAGUAAUUUAUCGUAGUUGUUUGCAAAUAUCGAAAUUAAAACUUGAAAUGAAAACAUUAAAAUAGAGAGUGAGAAGUUUCACAAAUGAAAACGGAAAAUUUCGCUGUUGCUAUGUCAAUAUUGGAAGUUGACAUUGAAGAACCUUUUUAAAGAAGUGAAUUAUAAAUAUAAAGCAAUAUUUUUUAUUUUUACUAAAAAACAUUAACUGAUGACCCUA